AUGCUGAGGAAUGAUGCCAGUUUACCAAGAGAGCAGCAGAUCAAUAGUUAUGUGCCGAGAAACUGCUUUCCAGUAGUGAUGUGGAGUAUGAAAGACAUGGAGAAAUCAAUUUCUCUUUCCGGUCCCAGGAGACUCAGUGCCUUCUGCAUGGCUCGUGGCAGUAGUAGUCUCAACUUUUUACCUGCGUUCUCUAAACUCUAAACACUGGGAGUAAAUAGAAGCAUAUUCAGAAUGUUCGAAAUGGCUCUAUUUGUCAUCAUCACCCCUGUUACUAGUAAGUUAUUAGGCUCCUAUAUGUGGAGUUGCUGACAUAAAGCAUUGAAUGAAGCAAGUUACAUAAAAUAUGAGUCCUCUGGAAGUUCAUUACUUAAAACUUGUACAUCAAAACAAAUACAAAAUUUGUGUAAGAUUUUUGAAAAAGGGAAGAAAGUAAAGACACUAUAUUAAGAGGCAAGAAUUCUAGUAUCUAGUUCUGUUUCCCACCUAUUUUACCGAGAUCUUCAUCAGGGCAUUUAAUAAUUUAUUAUUUUUAGUAUUUUCUAUGUGAUAUGUAACGUGGUAUCUUCAGAUUUGAAGUCGAGUUAUUGACAGUGUUUCAUAAAUGUCACUUGAGAUUUUGUCUUUCUAGUCACCUGACAGGAUCUAUGAAAGUUGAUAUUUUGAACCAUGUCAUUUUGGGCCACACAUAAUAAUUCCUUUUGCUGAUGUUGAAUCCAAACAUAUGAGCACAUCACCUCAUAGCGAUUUGCUUUAUCCCGAUAUAAAAAUCUUAUUACCUUGGAGUUCCCAUCCUGGCACAGGGGAAAUGAAUCCGACUAGGAACCAUGAGGUUGUGGGUUCGAUCCCUGCCCUUGCUCAGUGGGUUAAGGAUCUGGCAUUGCCCUGAGCUGUAGUGUAGGUCGCAAACGUGGCUCGGAUCUGGCGUUGCUGUGGCUGUGGUGUAGGCUGGUGGCUACAGCUCCGAUUAGACCCCUAGCCUGGGAACCUCCAUAUGCCUCGGGUGCGGCUCUGAAAAGACCAAAAAAAAAAAAUCUUAUUAAGAAAUUUUUCAUUCCAUAGCUCUUUUAUAUUAUGAUAUAUCUGCUUUAAAAUAAGAUGAAAUAAUCACAUAUAAUGCUUUUAUUGUAACAAAGGAAAUUUUGUUGUUGUUGUUGUUGCUAUUUCUUGGGCCGCUCCCGCGGCAUAUGGAGGUUCCCAGGCUAGGGGUCCAAUCGGAGCUGUAGCCACCGGCCUAUGCCAGAGCCACAGCAACGCUGGAUCCGAGCCGCAUCUGCAACCUACACCACAGCUCAUGGCAACGCCGGAUCGUUAACCCACUGAGCAAGGGCAGGGAUCGAACCCGCAACCUCAUGGUUCCUAGUCGGAUUCAUUAACCACUGCGCCACGACGGGAACUCCAUGUAACAAAGGAAAUUUAAUAGCUCAGUGUUAAUUCACAACUCCUUUAAAAAUAUUGUUAGAUGUUUAUUUUAUGUCCUUAGUGAAAUAUCUAUGGAUAGUAAUGGAUCAGUUGUAAGACUUCCUUUUAUAAAUUCUAAGAUUAAAAAUGAAUUGAUGUACUUGAGAUUAAUAAGAAUACUAUUUUGAGUAUGACAUAUGCUUGCAUACUUAUAGUUAAAUCUGAAAAGGACUUAGGAAUUUAGAAAACACUUUUGUAAGUAAUUACUGGGUUAUAGAAUACAUGAACACUAUAAUUAUAAAUAUUUUGAAAAUUAAUCAUUAUGAAAUCACUGUACAUAUGCACUUCUUGUGUCAUGUGGCCAGAGCAGUACUCAGAGUAAAGUUCAUAGCCAGAGAUGUUUUCAUUAUUAACUAAGACUAAAAAUAAAUGAGCUUAUUAGUCAAUUCA
rnacentral:lncRNA from 1 species